rnacentral:rRNA from 1 species
GUAGGGAAUCUUGCGCAAUGGGCGAAAGCCUGACGCAGCCAUGCCGCGUGAAUGAUGAAGGUCUUAGGAUUGUAAAAUUCUUUCACCGGGGACGAUAAUGACGGUACCCGGAGAAGAAGCCCCGGCUAACUUCGUGCCAGCAGCCGCGGUAAUACGAAGGGGGCUAGCGUUGCUCGGAAUUACUGGGCGUAAAGGGAGCGUAGGCGGACAGUUUAGUCAGAGGUGAAAGCCCAGGGCUCAACCUUGGAAUUGCCUUUGAUACUGGCUGUCUUGAGUACGGGAGAGGUGAGUGGAACUCCGAGUGUAGAGGUGAAAUUCGUAGAUAUUCGGAAGAACACCAGUGGCGAAGGCGACUCACUGGUCCGUUACUGACGCUGAGGCGCGAAAGCGUGGGGAGCAAACAGGAUUAGAUACCCGGGUAGUCC